rnacentral:tRNA from 1 species
GCAGUGGUAGUUCAGUGGUAGAACUCUUACCUUCCAAGCAAGAGACCCGGGUUCGACUCCCAGCCAAGGCA